rnacentral:rRNA from 1 species
GAUGAACGCUGGCGGCGUGCCUAAUACAUGCCAGUCGAGCGAACGGACGAGAAGCUUGCUUCUCUGAUGUUAGCGGCGGACGGGUGAGUAACACGUGGAUGACCUACCUAUAAGACUGGGAUAACUUCGGGAAACCGUAGCUAAUACCGGAUAAUAUUUUGAACCGCAUGGUUCAAAAGUGAAAGACGGUCUUGCUGUCACUUAUAGAUGGAUCCGCGCUGCAUUAGCUAGUUGGUAAGGUAACGGCUUACCAAGGCAACGAUGCAUAGCCGACCUGAGAGGGGGAUCGGCCACACUGGAACUGAGACACGGUCCAGACUCCUACGGGAGGCAGCAGUAGGGAAUCUUGCGCAAUGGGCGAAAGCCUGACGGAGCAACGCCGCGUGAGUGAUGAAGGUCUUCGGAUCGUAAAACUCUGUUAUUAGGGAAGAACAUAUGUGUAAGUAACUGUGCACAUCUUGACGGUACCUAAUCAGAAAGCCACGGCUAACUACGUG